UACGGAGGGUGCGAACGUUAAUCGGAAUCACUGGGCGUAAAGCGCGCGUAGGCGGUCUGUUAAGUGGGAUGUGAAAUCCCCGGGCUUAACCUGGGAAUUGCAUUUCAAACUGGCCGACUAGAGUACGGUAGAGGGAGGUAGAAUUUCCUGUGUAGCGGUGAAAUGCGUAGAUAUCUGGAGGAACACCGGUGGCGAAGGCGGCAUCCUGGACCAACACUGACACUGAGGAGCGAAAGCUAGGGUAGCGAACGGG
rnacentral:rRNA from 1 species